rnacentral:siRNA from 1 species
CAUUUGUUUAAGUGGGUUGAGGA